rnacentral:rRNA from 1 species
AUUGAACGCUGGCGGCAUGCCUUACACAUGCAAGUCGAACGGUAACGGGCCUACGGGUGCCGACGAGUGGCGAACGGGUGAGUAAUGUAUCGGAACGUACCUUUCAGUGGGGGAUAACGUAGCGAAAGUUACGCUAAUACCGCAUAUUCUGUGAGCAGGAAAGCAGGGGAUCGCAAGACCUUGCGCUGAUUGAGCGGCCGAUAUCAGAUUAGCUAGUUGGUGAGGUAAAGGCUCACCAAGGCGACGAUCUGUAGCGGGUCUGAGAGGAUGAUGGGCCACACUGGAGCUGAGACACGGUCCAGACUCCUACGGGAGGCAGCAGUGGGGAAUUUUGGACAAUGGGGGCAACCCUGAUCCAGCAAUGCCGCGUGAGUGAAGAAGGCCUUCGGGUUGUAAAGCUCUUUCGGCCGGGAAGAAAUCGUAUCAGCUAAUACCUGGUGCGGAUGACGGUACCGGCAUAAGAAGCACCGGCUAACUACGUGCCAGCAGCCGCCGUAACAC